AAACAGUUCUGUAUCUGUACCUGUCAUUUGCUUCAGGCAGCAUUCUAUGAAUGGAACACACAUGAGAUCAGUAAAAGAAGCUCUUAUCAUCCAAUGAUAAUUGAAAGAAUUCCACAGGAAUUACACCGCUAGCCAAACCUCGAGGAGCAUAACCAAAUUCUGGGGAUCCCAUGAUCACACUGUCUGUAACCAUGGGAACACAGCCACAGCAGGGGCUUGGAGAAUCUUUCUACUCACAGAUGGGCCAACAGGGAUCUCAAUGCUGAGGCAGAGAAAUACUGACCAUUUGGACAGCUGUGGCGCAGUGGUGAUUAAAGUAAUACUUCUGAGUCAAUAAUGAGAUACAUGAUUUCCCUCUGUGGCCAUUCUCUAAAUUUCCUGCAGCUAUUUUUGGACAUUGGUACACCAAAAUUGGACGUCCCACUGUAGUGCAAACAGAGACAGACUCUUUUCGAGCUUUUUCUAUCCUUGGCCAUUUGGGGCAUUUCCCUUAUUUCAUUGUUAUUGACUGUUAUACAAAAUAAGUAAAACAGAGCUACAUCAUCACAGUGCACCCAAAAAAUGUUGUUUUAAACCCAAUAAACCAUACGCAUUGUUUUUUUUUUUCUCUUUUUUUUUUCUGUGGAAUACAAAAGGAGAAAUUUUGAAGAAUAUUUACUAGUGGUCGACCGAUAUAUCUAUAUUAAUUGUUUCAUUAUCGCAUCAGCCAUUAAAUUUUCCUCUUUAGCCGAUUUGUUCUUGAGGGCGCUGAGAAUCGCCUGCUUGCAUGUGAAGCGACUGAGACCUGUAAACAACCAGUCAUGGUUUGUUUUGUUGUUACGUACCAUCGUGUUACUACAAUAAUAGACCGGUGUGCAACACAGUGUCAUUUAAACAGUCCGCAUAUCAGAGCCACGGCAGACGCGUCUGAGCUCAUAAUGUUAAAGUGCUCACCUGUUUCAUUCUCCCUGUCUCUUCUAAACAGUUCCCUGCAACUUUUAACAGUCUUGUCUAAUGAUAAAAAGGCAAAUAAAACUAA